GCGCUCGUAGCUCAGCUGGAUAGCGUACCUGGCUACGAACCAGGCGGUCAGAGGUUCGAAUCCUCUCGAGCGCGCCA
rnacentral:tRNA from 1 species